UGGUUCUGGCAUCGAUGAAGAACGCAGCGAAAUGCGAUAAGUAAUGCGAAUUGCAGAAUCCGUGAGUCAUCGAAUCUUUGAACGCACAUUGCGCCCUUUGGUAUUCCGAAGGGCAUGCCUGUUCGAGCGUCAUUAUCACCACUCAAGCCCGGCUUGCUGUUGGUGGCAGCGGUACCGGUCAGCCGGCUCUGCUCCACCCAAAGAUAAUGACGGCGUCUGUGAGGACUCCUGUACACUGAGCUUUCGGGCACGUACAUGGUUAGAAGUCCAGACACCGGUCUCCGUCCUUCGGGACACUUUUUACAAGGUUGACCUCGGAUCAGGUAGGGAUACCCGCUGA
rnacentral:misc_RNA from 1 species